AUUACUCGGCUGUUAGAGAGGCUUAAGGGUGAAGUGGGUUUUCGUUGUCUUGGCUUGAGUUUUAUGAAGCAAAUUCUGGCUCAGAAUAAACCUACUUUCAAGGGGAAAAGUGGGAAAAAAAUUCUCCUGACCGACCUCAAUGAUAUAUUUCAUAAGCGGAAGGGAGUCUGAUCUUCGUAAUAUUAUUUUAUGAAAUAUGCGUGGUUUUUGAAUUGUGAUGUUCUUGAAAAAAGAAUUGGUAUAAUUGAUUAGUAUGCUAGAGAGGGUGUGGAUUAAAUGGCAUAUUAUAGCAUAUUGUAGGGUGUGGAUAAGUUAUAGAUUAGGCUCUUGCAGAAGUUUUACAAUUCAAUGGAUGAUUACAAUUAAAUAUCAAACGUUGAUGGAUUAGUGGUAAAGGGCUAAGCUUAAUUUUUCACCUUUAUUACUUGUGACUUAAAAGCUAUGGCCACCAAUCAGGACUAUCUGUUUUAAUGCUUGGUGGGAGGUUGGACUAGGUUCAAGAUGAUGGGUGAUGUUUUACACAUUUUGAGCCACUUAUAAGUGGUUUAGUUUGAAUUGGGCCCUUGCCAACGCUUUGCUGAUGCCUAAGGCAGUCAAACUCUGGAGACUUUAAUGGAGAGCUGGUAUUUGUAAACAGUAUCACAAGAUGUAGUGAUGGACAUGUCUUCGGAUACUGCAAAAGAAAAUGCAUCUGUUGUCGAUUCAUCAGUAACUGAAUGGAAACAAGACAUGGGAAUUUCGGAUGACCCUGAGAGCUCUAGUUACAAAGCUAAUGAGGUUAGCUAUCCGUCAAGGGCAGAUAAAGCUGGGAACUCUUAUUAUCCACUGGGAAUUUCCACUACUGACAGAAAGGGUAAAUUGGACAAUACGAGAUACUUCAUCAUUAAGAGUUUGAACCUUCAUAAUAUCCAACUGUCAAUUGAGAAAGGAAUUUGGGCUACCCAAGUCAUGAACGAACCUAUUCUAGAAGAAGCCUUUCAUAACUCUGGUAAAGUAAUUCUUAUAUUUAGUGUAAACAUGAGUGGUUUCUUCCAAGGAUAUGCGCAAAUGAUGUCUUCUGUUGGGUGGAGGCGAGACAAUGUUUGGAGUCAAGGAAGUAGCAAAGGCAAUCCCUGGGGGCGCAGCUUUAAAGUCAAAUGGCUGUGUUUAAAUGACUUACCUUUUCAAAAGACUCUUCAUCUCAAGAAUCCAUUGAAUGAAUACAAACCUGUCAAAAUUAGCAGGGAUUGCCAGGAGUUAUCUCUAGAUAUCGGAGAAGCUCUUUGUGAGCUCCUUGAUGGAAAGAGUGAUGUGGAUGACUCUCCAAGUAGUCUUUACCGGAGUAAUCUUCCUUCAAAAAGGCUCUGUGUAGAGUCUCCAUGUUCUUUAGGGGAUGAAGAGUAUAAUGUGCCUCCAAUGCACAUGUCAUGGUCAAGAACACCCAUUCUUUAUCCUUCGCCGCUGUAUCCACAUCAGGCUGAGGCGAAUAGAUUUCAUUUAGCAAACCAGAUUUCUGCAGGGGUUGCUUUUCCUAAAAAUCUUUCAAUCACUGCCGGUUCAUCAAAAGUUGAAAGGAUGAAACGCUCUUGCAAUAUCGGAGAAAUUUCUAAUUUACAAGCGGAAAUGGAUAUGUCUCCUCAUUUUGAUGUUUGGGGUUUGUAUGCAGAAAGCCCAUUUGCUUGUACCCUGACUGAGGAUGAUCUUCUUGAACUGGUAUUAGUGUCCUAGUUUAGUUUCUUUGUUCUGUUUGGCAUCACCAAUCUCUCUCUCUCUCUCUCUCUCUCUCUCUCUCUCUCUCUCUCUCUCUCUCUCUCUCUCUCUCUCUCUCUCUCUCUCUCUCUCUCCCUCUCUCCAUACCAGCCCUAAAUUACUGAGAUAGUAUUUAGUUUAACUGAUAGCGUUGCUUGGUUAGUAAACUUAUAGUUUAAUGAAUGCUAUCGAAAGGGUACAUAAUCUCGCUGCAGUUGAUGAUGAUUAAAUUGUGAUCGUUGUAUUUAUGUCAGUUUACUGAUUUCUUAGAUGUAUCAUAAUGAAAUUGAGCUGUCGUUCUUUUUAUGAUUUUGUUUCUUGGGUGUGUGCCCUUAAAAUAGCUACCCACUUUCAUGGUUUAUAUUAACUAUAUCUUUGGGAAAAAGAAUUCAGUUCAGAUGUAGGAUACCUAUGCGUGCAAUUCAAUCAUGUAUGAUGGAAUCAUCAAAGAUUUGACAUUUCAAACUGUCUGUAACAUAUCUAUCUGUCCUGAUAAAAGUGAACUGGAUUUGCCUAGUGUUUGGGAAACUACAUCUACACCUGUCAUAGAUGGCCUUCCAAAAAUUUGGGAAUUCCUAAAUAGCCCAUUUUCCAACCACAACCAGAUAUAAGAUGGGGGAGGGGGGAGGGGAGAGAAGUCUGCAACUUCGAAGUAUGAUAGAUUGUGAAUCCAUGACCCAAAAUAUCCACAAAAGGAAAUCUACAUCCUCAACUACCAAAUAUGAUAAAACCUUAAUAAUCACAACAAAAUCACUCUUUACAAUCAUCACAUGACGGCAUUUCUAAUUGAAGUUGCAUGUUAUAUUCAGCCACUUGGUGACCUGGGAAC